rnacentral:rRNA from 1 species
GCUUGCACUGGUGGAUUAGUGGCGAACGGGUGAGUAACACGUGAGUAACCUGCCCCUGACUUCGGGAUAAGCCCGGGAAACUGGGUCUAAUACCGGAUAUGACUUCCUGCUGCAUGGCAGGGGGUGGAAAGAUUUAUCGGUUGGGGAUGGACUCGCGGCCUAUCAGCUUGUUGGUGAGGUAAUGGCUCACCAAGGCGACGACGGGUAGCCGGCCUGAGAGGGUGACCGGCCACACUGGGACUGAGACACGGCCCAGACUCCUACGGGAGGCAGCAGUGGGGAAUAUUGCACAAUGGGCGAAAGCCUGAUGCAGCGACGCCGCGUGAGGGAUGACGGCCUUCGGGUUGUAAACCUCUUUCAGUAGGGAAGAAGCCCCUUUUGGGGGGAGAGGGCUUUUGCAAAAAACGCCCGGGAAAUAUACGUCCCCACCCCCGGGGAAAUACAUGGGGCGCACGCUUUCCCGAAAUUUUUGGGGCGUAAAGAUCUCAUAGGGGUUUUGUCGCCUCUGCCGAAAAACCCAGAGUCUCACCCUCAUAUCUGCGGGGGGCAGGGGCACACUAGAGUGAUGUG